GCACGACUUGUUCUUGCCUUCUAAAGCAGAGAGGAGCUUUUGUGGGUAGUUCCUACAGGGAUACAUGGUAGAAAAUUCACCAAACCCAGUGCUGGAGUGUUUCUCUUCCUCAGAAGAAAUCAGAUGCCGUUCAAAGCACCAAGGCUAGAAUUUUACCCUGGUUCUCGUGCUACGCUGCACCCAGGUUGGAUCCUGAGUACAGUUUUUGGCAGGAAGCCCCAGAGAGAUUGGUAAGGGUGAUUUCCCAGGAAGACGCAGUGUGCUCUGACUUCUGUGACAGCGAGCAGCGGGACCAAUGGAUGUCCAGAUGCUGGCAAUGAGACAUGCUCUGGAGUCAGAAGACGGCGAAAAGAGAAGCAGAAGCCUCGGUGGCAAGAGUCCGAAGGACGCAAUCACUGUAACCUGUGGAUUGUACUGCAGUAGGAAACUAUCCUAGCGAGGCUCUGCUUUGCCCCAGCUUCAAGGUGUAUCGUCUCAAAAUGCAGCAUACUUCAGAUGAGUUCUGAGCACCCUUUCUUUUAUUAUAAAAAAAAUUCCAGACAGUUCAGCCAAUACCGACUAAGGGCUGAGACCAGUUCCAUGCUUUUCUGUCUCCGGAGGAAUUUGCUUCCGUCUGGAUGCCUGAAACGCUGGAAAGGAGGAGAACAUGAAACGUUGCUUGAAGACAAUGGCCGAGACAGCAGGUCCCACCCUGCACAGCCACCAGCAUCUCUCCCCUCAGCCCUGUCUCCUCUUCUGCAGUUGGGAUCUGCACAUUUAAGCCCCAAAUUGUCCUGUGAA
rnacentral:lncRNA from 1 species